UCCCUGGUGGCUCAGACGGUAAAGCGUCUGUCUGUAAUGCAGGAGACCUGGGUUCGAUCCCUGGGUUGGGAA
rnacentral:tRNA from 1 species